GACGAACCGUGCGAACGUUGUUCGGAAUCACUGGGCUUAAAGGGCGCGUAGGCGGGUCAGCAAGUCCGGGGUGAAAUCUUUCGGCUCAACCGGAAAAGUGCCUCGGAUACUGCUGGUCUUGAGGGAGGUAGGGGUUGCUGGAACUUCCGGUGGAGCGGUGAAAUGCGUUGAUAUCGGAAGGAACGCCGGUGGCGAAAGCGAGCAACUGGAUCUCUUCUGACGCUGAGGCGCGAAAGCUAGGGGAGCAAACGGG
rnacentral:rRNA from 1 species